CCAGAGGUGGAGGAGGAGGAGAACAAGGAGCAGGAGGAGGAGGAAGAGCAGCAGGAGGAGGAUGAACAUACCCCACAGCUAUUCUCCGUGAAGGGAGAGGAGCAGGAGGUGGUUCUCUGCCCGCAAGAAGACUGCAGGUCCUGUCAGGGCGAGUUUCAGGGCACUGCACAGAGCCAUGGUGAGGAGCCCACUGUGGGAUCCCCACACUCCAAGGAUGUUGCAGCCUCAGAUGAGCAGUGUGAUCCUGCAGAGGGGAGCCCCGCACACACUGAACAGCCUCCAGUUGAAGAGGCUGUGGUCAAGUGCCCCCCAGAGCCCCAGCUGCUUGAGAAUGAGAAUCUGCACAGGGCCCUGGCUUGGGCCUUCACCCCUGAGUCAGUGAUUUCUGCUUUGGAACAGCACUGAGGAGUAGGAAAACAUAGAACCAAUGCUCUGUGCCCUCUUUUCCCCAUUCAGUCCCUGCUUCCCUGUCCCUCCUCUCCUGACCCUCUUCCUGUCAUGUCUAGAGGAGCCACAAAAACUCCACGAAUUUAUUUCUUCCUAAAGAUAUUUGAACUCCAACAAUUCCUUAAAAUGUCAAACAAUGUACAUUUAUUUCAAUAAAAAUGAAAAAA